rnacentral:rRNA from 1 species
AUUGAACGCUGGCGGCAUGCUUUACACAUGCAAGUCGAACGGUAACAGGCCUUCGGGUGCUGACGAGUGGCGAACGGGUGAGUAAUGCAUCGGAACGUGCCCAGAGGUGGGGGAUAACGCAGCGAAAGCUGUGCUAAUACCGCAUGUGAUCUGAGGAUGAAAGCGGGGGACCAGGCAGCAAUGUUUGGCCUCGCGCCUUUGGAGCGGCCGAUGUCAGAUUAGGUAGUUGGUGGGGUAAAGGCCUACCAAGCCGACGAUCUGUAGCUGGUCUGAGAGGACGACCAGCCACACUGGGACUGAGACACGGCCCAGACUCCUACGGGAGGCAGCAGUGGGGAAUUUUGGACAAUGGGCGCAAGCCUGAUCCAGCAAUGCCGCGUGCGGGAAGAAGGCCUUCGGGUUGUAAACCGCUUUUGUAGGGAACGAAAAGGCUCUGGCUAAUACCUGGGGCUGAUGACGGUACCGUAAGAAUAAGCACCGGCUAACUACGUG